rnacentral:rRNA from 1 species
AAUGAACGCUGGCGGCAUGCCUAACACAUGCAAGUCGAUCGAGCCCUUCGGGUCUAUUCUCGCCCGGCUUCGUCACGCGUGGGAACCUUCCCUUAUGUUCGGACUAACUCUCCGACUGGGGUGCUAACACCGGAUCAUAUCUUCUGCCCAAAGAUUUAUCGACUUUGGAUGGUCCCGCGUUGGAUUAGCUAGUUGGUAGGGUAAAAGCCUACUAAGGCGACGAUCCAUAGCUUGUAUGAGAGGAUGAUCAGCCACACUGGAAGUGAGACACGGCCAGGACUCCUACGGGAGGCAGGAGUGGGGGAUAUUGGAAAAUGGGGGGAGGGCUGAACGAGCAAUGCCGCGUGAGUGAUGAAGGCAGUAGGGAUGAAAAGCUCUACUAACCGGGAUGAUAAUGACGGUACCGGGAGAAUAAGCUACGGCUAACUACGUG